CUUGCAAUUGGUCAAUAGCGGUAAGGCCCGCCCAACUACAUCCGAUCUGCUUCUUUAAGUAGAAACCAGGCCAGUUUCCUUUCCUUUCAGCAGCUGCGGAGCUGGGUAGGUGAGGUGGUGUCUGCUUUGUUCUGGGGCAGAUGGCUCGAGAAGGACGUCGGAUGUCAUUGUCCUCCCAGCUUUAAGAUCUUCCUCCGAAGCCCCUCAAUAAAAUGGUUUGAUCCCA